rnacentral:rRNA from 1 species
GCAGUCGACGAUGAAGCACCAGCUUGCUGGUGUGGAUUAGUGGCGAACGGGUGAGUAACACGUGAGUAACCUGCCCCCUACUCUGGGAUAAGCCUGGGAAACUGGGUCUAAUACUGGAUAUGACCAAUCACUGCAUGGUGUGUUGGUGGAAAGAUUUUUUGGUGGGGGAUGGACUCGCGGCCUAUCAGCUUGUUGGUGGGGUAAUGGCCUACCAAGGCGACGACGGGUAGCCGGCCUGAGAGGGCGACCGGCCACACUGGGACUGAGACACGGCCCAGACUCCUACGGGAGGCAGCAGUGGGGAAUAUUGCACAAUGGGCGAAAGCCUGAUGCAGCGACGCCGCGUGAGGGAUGACGGCCUUCGGGUUGUAAACCUCUUUCACCAGGGACGAAGCUAACGUGACGGUACCUGGAGAAGAAGCACCGGCUAACUACGUGCCAGCAGCCGCGGUAAUACGUAGGGUGCGAGCGUUGUCCGGAAUUAUUGGGCGUAAAGAGCUUGUAGGCGGUUUGUCGCGUCUGCUGUGAAAGACCGGGGCUUAACUCCGGUUCUGCAGUGGGUACGGGCAGACUAGAGUAUGGUAGGGGAGACUGGAAUUCCUGGUGUAGCGGUGAAAUGCGCAGAUAUCAGGAGGAACACCGAUGGCGAAGGCAGGUCUCUGGGCCAUUACUGACGCUGAGAAGCGAAAGCAUGGGGAG